rnacentral:lncRNA from 10 species
CCCAGGAUUCCUGCAGGAAGAAAGCAGACGGCUGAGAGCCUCCUCUUUGUAUUCGGCAAGACCAGGCUCCGUAGCCCUCAGGGAAACAUUCGACCACAACUGUGGUGUGUGGGCCCCGCUGUUUGCUAGAGAGCCUGAGAGAUGAGUCAUUGGUUUCUAGCCUGGAGAAAGACGCCUGCGAGGCGAGACUGUCAGGGUCUCUGCCGCCCUCCCCAGGAGCUGUGUCCCUGAGGUCAUAAGAGCUCCAUUCCAGAAAGAGUCCUGCCCCACA